rnacentral:rRNA from 1 species
UACGUAGGGGGCAAGCGUUAUCCGGAUUCAUUGGGCGUAAAGAGCGCGUAGGCGGAUUGUUAAGCGCGAUGUGAAAACUGGGGGCUCAACCCGCAGCCUGCAUCGUGAACUGGCAGUCUUGAGUCUGGUAGAGGAGUGUGGAAUUCCCAGUGUAGCGGUGAAAUGCGCAGAUAUUGGGAGGAACACCAGUGGCGAAGGCGGCACUCUGGGCCACGACUGACGCUGAGGCGCGAAAGCUAGGGGAGCAAACAGG